GGGCUUCAGCUCCGGCGCAAAGAGAGGCCCAAGUGAGAUUAGCUAGUUGGUAAGGUAACGGCUUACCAAGGCGACGAUCUCUAGCUGUUCUGAGAGGAAGAUCAGCCACACUGGGACUGAGACACGGCCCAGACUCCUACGGGAGGCAGCAGUGGGGAAUAUUGCACAAUGGGGGAAACCCUGAUGCAGCCAUGCCGCGUGUGUGAAGAAGGCCUUCGGGUUGUAAAGCACUUUCAGUUGUGAGGAAAAGUUAGUAGUUAAUACCUGCUAGCCGUGACGUUAACAACAGAAGAAGCACCGGCUAACUCCGUGCCAGCAGCCGCGGUAAUACGGAGGGUGCGAGCGUUAAUCGGAAUUACUGGGCGUAAAGCGCACGCAGGCGGUUUGUUAAGCUAGAUGUGAAAGCCCCGGGCUCAACCUGGGAUGGUCAUUUAGAACUGGCAGACUAGAGUCUUGGAGAGGGGAGUGGAAUUCCAGGUGUAGCGGUGAAAUGCGUAGAUAUCUGGAGGAACAUCAGUGGCGAAGGCGACUCCCUGGCCAAAGACUGACGCUCAUGUGCGAAAGUGUGGGUAGCGAACAGGAUUAGAUACCCUGGUAGUCCACACCGUAAACGCUGUCUACUAGCUGUGUGUGUCUUUAAGACGUGCGUAGCGAAGCUAACGCGCUAAGUAGACCGCCUGGGGAGUACGG
rnacentral:rRNA from 1 species